rnacentral:rRNA from 1 species
CCUACCAUGCAAGUCGAGCGGUAGCACAGAGAGCUUGCUCUCGGGUGACGAGCGGCGGACGGGUGAGUAAUGUCUGGGAAACUGCCUGAUGGAGGGGGAUAACUACUGGAAACGGUAGCUAAUACCGCAUAACGUCGCAAGACCAAAGUGGGGGACCUUCGGGCCUCAUGCCAUCAGAUGUGCCCAGAUGGGAUUAGCUGGUAGGUGGGGUAACGGCUCACCUAGGCGACGAUCCCUAGCUGGUCUGAGAGGAUGACCAGCCACACUGGAACUGAGACACGGUCCAGACUCCUACGGGAGGCAGCAGUGGGGAAUAUUGCACAAUGGGCGCAAGCCUGAUGCAGCCAUGCCGCGUGUGUGAAGAAGGCCUUCGGGUUGUAAAGCACUUUCAGCGGGGAGGAAGGCGAUAAGGUUAAUAACCUUAUCGAUUGACGUUACCCGCAGAAGAAGCACCGGCUAACUCCGUGCCAGCAGCCGCGGUAAUACGGAGGGUGCAAGCGUUAAUCGGAAUUACUGGGCGUAAAGCGCACGCAGGCGGUCUGUCAAGUCGGAUGUGAAAUCCCCGGGCUCAACCUGGGAACUGCAUUCGAAACUGGCAGGCUAGAGUCUUGUAGAGGGGGGUAGAAUUCCAGGUGUAGCGGUGAAAUGCGUAGAGAUCUGGAGGAAUACCGGUGGCGAAGGCGGCCCCCUGGACAAAGACUGACGCUCAGGUGCGAAAGCGUGGGGAGCAAACAGGAUUAGAUACCCUGGUAGUCCACGCUGUAAACGAUGUCGAUUUGGAGGUUGUGCCCUUGAGGCGUGGCUUCCGGAGCUAACGCGUUAAAUCGACCGCCUGGGGGAGUACGGCCGCAAGGUUAAAACUCAAAUGAAAUUGACGGGGGGCCCGCACNAAGC